rnacentral:lncRNA from 1 species
GUUGACAGUUGAUGGCUGCUGUGGAUGGGAGUCACUUCUGUUUGGGAAUGUGAAUGUUGAUAGUUUGACCCUCCCCCAGCUGAUGUCUCUAUAUCCACGUGAUUAUGGCUAGCACUGAAUGGACUCAAAGCACUAACUAAUUUACUGAUAACAACAGUAAUAACAGUAAAGAGGACACAAAGUCAGGAGGGAGAUGGGUUGGGUUCUUUAAGAGUCUAAAGGAGGUGCAAGGGUGGCUAUGAUAAAAUAUAUAGUAUACAUGUAUGACAUCUUCAAUAUAAAUAAACAUAUUAUUUUUUAAGUUAUUUCUUUAAGGAAGCUAUUGAGAUGGGAUUUCGGAAUCUAUGGGGCUGCUGCGGAAAUAAAGCACUUGCCAUAUGCCAGAAAACGAACAAAUGGCAGUUUUCAUUUAACCGAAAGGUACAAUGCACUGA